GAUGAACGCUGGCGGCGUGCUUAACACAUGCAAGUCGAACGGUGUGCUCAUGACGGAGGAUUCGUCCAAUGGAUUGAGUUACCUAGUGGCGGACGGGUGAGUAACGCGUGAGGAACCUGCCUUGGAGAGGGGGAUAACACUCCGAAAGGAGUGCUAAUACCGCAUGAUGCAGUUGGGUCGCAUGGCUCUGACUGCCAAAGAUUUAUCGCUCUGAGAUGGCCUCGCGUCUGAUUAGCUAGUAGGCGGGGUAACGGCCCACCUAGGCGACGAUCAGUAGCCGGGACUGAGAGGUUGACCGGCCACAUUGGGACUGGAGACACGGUCCAAACUCCUACGGGAGCAGCAGUGAGGAAUAUUGGUCAAUGGGCGAGAGCCUGAA
rnacentral:rRNA from 1 species